rnacentral:rRNA from 1 species
CCCUUACGGGGAAAGAUUUAUUGCCGAAGGAACGGCCCGCGUCCGAUUAGCUUGUUGGUGAGGUAAUGGCUCACCAAGGCGACGAUCGGUAGCUGGUCUGAGAGGAUGACCAGCCUCACUGGGACUGAGACACGGCCCAGACUCCUACGGGAGGCAGCAGUGGGGAAUAUUGGACAAUGGGCGCAAGCCUGAUCCAGCCAUGCCGCGUGGGUGAUGAAGGCCUUAGGGUUGUAAAGCCCUUUCGGCGGGGAAGAUAAUGACGGUACCCGCAGAAGAAGCCCCGGCUAACUUCGUGCCAGCAGCCCGCGGUAAUACGAAGGGGGCUAGCGUUGCUCGGAAUUACUGGGCGUAAAGCGCACGUAGGCGGAUUGGUAAGUCGGGGGUGAAAUCCUGGAGCUCAACUCCAGACUGCCUUCGAACUGGCGAUCUUUAGUCCGGAAAAGUGAGUGGAACUGCAAUGUAAAGUGAAAUUCUA